GAUGAAGAACGCAGCGAAUUGCGAUAAGUAAUGUGAAUUGCAGAUUUUCAGUGAAUCAUCGAAUCUUUGAACGCACCUUGCGCUCCUUGGUAUUCCGAGGAGCAUGCCUGUUCGAGCGUCAUUACAACCCUCAAGCUCUGCUUGGUAUUGGGCUCUGCCGGUCCCGGCAGGCUUAAAAUCAGUGGCGGCGCCACUCGGCUUCAAGCGUAGUAAUUCUUCUCGCUUCGGAGACCCGGGUGCGUGCUAGCCAGCAACCCCCAACUUUCUCAGGUUGACCUCGGAUCAGGUAGGGAUACCCGCUGAACUUAAGCAUAUCAAUAAGCGGAGGA
rnacentral:misc_RNA from 1 species